rnacentral:rRNA from 1 species
AUGGCUAAGUAUUGGUGGACCAGCUCCUUGGAUCGUAACUCCAUGCAUUGGAAGGCCUGGGAUACGUUGGCAACACCGAAGGAGAAGGGCGGUAUGGGCUUCCGGGAUCUUGAGCUGUUUAACGUAGCUCUUCUUGGCAAACAUGGAUGGAGGCUGCUGACAAACCCUCAAUCCCUAUGUGCCCGAGUACUCAAAGGUAGAUAUUUCCCCUCAUGUAAUUUCAUGCAAGCUACGGUUCCACGUUUCUCAUCUGCAAUGUGGCGAGCUAUCAUCGCUGCGAGGGAUGCUUUGCAAGUCGGACUCAUCAAGUGUGUUGGAGAUGGUACAACAAUCUCAAUUUGGGAUGACAAGUGGAUCCUGGGCACCAUCUCUAUGGCUCCGACAGUAAGAAGUGGAAAUACUCAGUUGAACCUUGUUUCAGAUUUAAUUGACGAUGCAAAUUGGACAUGGAAAUCAGAUGUGAUUCGGCAAAACUUCAUCACCCCCGACGCGGAUGCCAUUCUGAACAUUCCUUUGAGGAGAGGAGGGGGGAGGAUGAGAUUGCGUGGGCUCUCGAACGAUCGGGCUGCUAUUCUGUAA